UACGUAGGGUGCGAGCGUUAAUCGGAAUUACUGGGCGUAAAGCGUGCGCAGGCGGCUUUGCAAGACAGAUGUGAAAUCCCCGGGCUUAACCUGGGAACUGCAUUUGUGACUGCAUCGCUGGAGUGCGGCAGAGGGGGAUGGAAUUCCGCGUGUAGCAGUGAAAUGCGUAGAUAUGCGGAGGAACACCGAUGGCGAAGGCAAUCCCCUGGGCCUGCACUGACGCUCAUGCACGAAAGCGUGGGGAGCAAACAGG
rnacentral:rRNA from 1 species